AGAGAGUGACGGGCGAUGUGUACACACUUCAGAGCUCAUUUCAAAAAAGAAUUUUAUUCUUAAUUUACUACUAAAUCCACCUUCAUAAAAUUAAUUACAAUCAUUAAUCCGUAUAAAUUUAAAUUAUUGUAACCCACUACUUCCAUGCCUAUAAGCUGCACCUUGACCUGAAGUCCUAAUUAACAAUUAAUUAGAUUAUAUUCUUUAAAAAUAAUCAGACAACGGCGGUAUACAAACUGAAAACAAAAACAUGUACAUUAAAACGUGGAUUAUCGAUCCAAGAGCAGGUUCCUCUAGUAAGAAUGAAGUACCGCCAAAUUCUUUAAGUUUAAAAAAUUUUACUACCCAGGCAAAUAAUUUAAUAAGGAAUAGUAGGGUAUCUAAUCCUAGUUUAUAACCUAAUCUUUAAAGAUUACAUAUUUUUCUAUAACUUUUUAUUUAAAGAAUUAAAAAUUUUACUUUUGAUUCAUUAUUUAAAAAAUUUAUUCAAAAUUAUAAUUUACUUAAUUCCACCAAUCUAUCUCAUUCAAAUCCUUCGUAUAACC
rnacentral:rRNA from 1 species